UACGUAGGGGGCAAGCGUUGUCCGGAUUUAUUGGGCGUAAAGCGCUCGCAGGCGGCUCGAUGCGUCGUGCGUGAAACACCCCGGCUCAACUGGGGAGGGUCGUGCGAUACGGUCGGGCUGGAGGCCAGUAGGGGGAUGCGGAAUUCCGGGUGUAGUGGUGGAAUGCGUAGAGAUCCGGAGGAACACCAGCGGCGAAGGCGGCAUCCUGGACUGGUACUGACGCUCAUGAGCGAAAGCGAUGGGGAGCG
rnacentral:rRNA from 1 species